GCAGUCGUGGCCUACUGGUUAGGGCUUCGGGCUUGGAACCGGAGGGUUGCAAGUUCGAUCCGACCAGUGGG
rnacentral:tRNA from 1 species